rnacentral:sRNA from 1 species
UGAUCGGGACAGGGUUGUCCAGCCCUAA